AGAAGAAGCACCGGCUAACUACGUGCCAGCAGCCGCGGUGAUACGUAGGGUGCGAGCGUUGUCCGGAUUUAUUGGGCGUAAAGAGCUCGUAGGUGGUUUGUUGCGUCGGGAGUGAAAACACGCAGCUUAACUGUGUGCUUGCUUUCGAUACGGGCAGACUUGAGGGAGGUAGGGGAGAACGGAAUUCCUGGUGGAGCGGUGGAAUGCGCAGAUAUCAGGAGGAACACCGGUGGCGAAGGCGGUUCUCUGGACCUUUCCUGACGCUGAGGAGCGAAAGCGUGGGGAGCAAACAGGCUUAGAUACCCUGGUAGUCCACGCCGUAAACGGUGGGCACUAGGUGUGGGGGACAUUCCACGUUCUCCGUGCCGUAGCUAACGCAUUAAGUGCCCCGCCUGGGGAGUACGGCCGCAAGGCUAAAACUCAAAGGAAUUGACGGGGGCCCGCACAAGCGGCGGAGCAUGCGGAUUAAUUCGAUGCAACGCGAAGAACCUUACCUGGGUUUGACAUGCACCAGACGACAGCAGAGAUGUUGUUUCCG
rnacentral:rRNA from 1 species